AUUGAACGCUGUCGGCAGGCCUAAUACAUGCAAGUCGAGCCAGCGGCGGAGGGGUGAGUAAUGUUGGGGAAACUGUCUGAAGCAGGGCGAUAACUAGUGGAAACGGUAGCGAAUCCCGCAUUCAAUCCGCUUUGCCUAGUCGGGAGUAGCUGGUGGGUGGGGUAACGGCUCACCUAGGCGACGAUCCCUAGCCGGUCUGAGAGGAGGACCAGCCACACUGGAACUGAGGUACGGUCCAGACUCCUACGGGAGGCAGCAGUAGGGAAUAUUGCACAAUGGGCGAAAGCCUGAUGCAGCCAUGCCGCGUGUGUGAAGAAGGCCUUCGGGUUGUAAAGCUCUUUCAGCGGGGAGGCGUUACCCACAGAAGAAGCACCGGCUAACUCCGUGCCAGCCGCCGCGGUAAUAC
rnacentral:rRNA from 1 species